CAGGAACACCCAUCAGACGCUAGUCGCAUCCAUUGGAUCUCAUUUGCGAGCGAGAUAAAAACCCUAGCUAAAGGUUUCUAGGUAUCUCACAGUAUAGCUGCUGCUUUUGUAGUGAUAUUCUCAUCUUGUAUCGUCUUGAGGUACUAUCGUUCAUUUCUCUAAUGUAUAUAUAAAUACAUGUGAUUAUUCAAUUUCUAGCUGAUUGAAUCUAUAUGGGCUGAUUUGGUUUGCGGUUUUUGAUUCAGUAAUUGAUUAGUUUAGAUCUGUACAGGUCUCUGUAAGGAAUUUGGUUUUGCUUUUUUUUGCACUUUUUCAAAAUUUUUAGUGGUGUUUUUGUGAUGCCCAUGUCAUGGUAAACAUUUUGAUAUUGCGGUUUGCCUUGUGUUGAUUUUGAAAUGACUUCCCUUUA
rnacentral:misc_RNA from 1 species